GACAGAGGGGGCGAGCGUUGUCCGGAUUUACUGGGCGUAAAGCGCUUGUAGGCGGCUUCGUAAGUUGGGCGUGAAAGCUCCGGGCUUAACCCGGAGAGGCCGUCCAAUACUGCGGAGCUCGAGGGUGCCAGAGGAAGGUGGAAUUCCUGGUGUAGCGGUGAAAUGCGUAGAUAUCAGGAGGAACACCCGUGGCGAAGGCGGCUUUCUGGGGCAUUCCUGACGCUGAGAAGCGAAAGCUAGGGGAGCAAACAGG
rnacentral:rRNA from 1 species